GAUUCUCCGGCAAUGACGAAAUGUCGACGAGACGCCGCGUGAUGAGAGUUUCGGAAUUCGGUAACUCGUGUUAAAGAAGAACGUGGGUUAGAGUGAAUUACCCAAGUGACGUAUCUAGCAGAAAGGACGCUACUACGUGCAGGCAGGCGCGUUAUACGUAGUCCGAGCGUGUCGGAUUUAUGGGCGUAAAGCGAGCGCAGGUGGUUUAAUAAGUCUGAUGUAAAAGGCAGUGGCUCAAACCAUGUGUGCAUUGGAAACUGUUAGACUUGAGUGCAGUAGAGGAGAGUGGAAUUCCAUGUGUAGCGGUGAAAUGCGUAGAUAUAUGGAGGAACACCGGUGGCGAAAGCGGCUCUCUGGACUGUAACUGACACUGAGGCUCGAAAGCGUGGGUAGCAAACAGGAUUAGAUACCCUGGUAGUCCACGCCGUAAACGAUGAGUGCUAGUUGUUUGGGGCUAUCCAGCCCUAAGUGACGCAGCAAACGCAUUAAGCACUCCGCCUGGGGAGUACGACCGCAAGGUUGAAACUCAAAGGAAUUGACGGGGGCCCGCACAAGCGGUGGAGCAUGUGGUUUAAUUCGAAGCAACGCGAAGAACCUUACCAGGUCUUGACAUACCAGUGCUAUUCUUAGAGAUAAGAAGUUACUUCGGUACACUGGAUACAGGUGGUGCAUGGUUGUCGUCAGCUCGUGUCGUGAGAUGUUGGGUUAAGUCCCGCAACGAGCGCAACCCCUAUUGUUAGUUGCCAUCAUUAAGUUGGGCACUCUAGCGAGACUGCCGGUAAUAAACCGGAGGAAGGUGGGGAUGACGUCAAAUCAUCAUGCCCCUUAUGACCUGGGCUACACACGUGCUACAAUGGUUGGUACAACGAGUCGCAAGCUAGUGAUAGCAAGCUAAUCUCUUAAAGCCAAUCUCAGUUCGGAUUGUAGGCUGCAACUCGCCUACAUGAAGACGGAAUCGCUAGUAAUCGCGGAUCAGCACGCCGCGGUGAAUACGUUCCCGGGCCUUGUACACACCGCCCGUCACACCACGAGAGUUUGUAAUACCCAAAGCCGGUGAGCUAACCUUUUAGGAGGCAGCCGUCUAAGGUAGGAUAGAUGAUUGGGGUGAAGUCGUAACAAGGUAGCC
rnacentral:rRNA from 1 species